rnacentral:rRNA from 1 species
CAAGCUACCAUUCACACUUGCUCUAUCUGCGGGGUUGAGGAUGAGAGUACUUUCCACGCUCUUGUUUCUUGCCCAAAGGCUCGUGCACUUCGUUUGGCGUUGAGGAAAGUGUGGAAUUUGCCAGGGGAAGAGGCUUUUAAUUAUACUGGGCCUGACUGGUUACUUAUUUUAUUAGACCAGUUAAGUUGUUCGCAAAGGGAACACAUCUUAUUUCUUUUCUGGCGAGUUUGGCACUUAAGGAAUGAUUUGAUUUUUGGGAAAGGAAAAGAAACUGUUAUAGGAUCCGGCAUGUUUCUGGAGAGUUACUGGUUGGCAUUUUCGUCAGUGUCAGCCUACAAAUGA